GGCACCGUGGCCUAGCGGCUAACGCAGUUGUUUUUGGAUCUGCAUACCAAGGUUCGAUUCCAGCUGGUGGCA